CUCCUAAGUGUACAUGCAACCCUAAAUACCUUGGAUCUAUGUUUUCUCUAUUAUACAUGCAAAUAAGAACUUCCAAGGUAUUAUCCUAAUCUAGCAUACAAAACAAUGACUAUAGCAAGAUAGAAUACAUACCUCUUUGAUGUAGAAAGUCUUCAUGAAGUUUGAGUGCCAAGUGCCCCAAGUGUGACACCUCAAAUGGUUCACACAACACCAAAUACACUUGGAAUGACUUGAGAGAAUUCUACACUUCAUGAAAAUCGGCUAGCCCUCUCUUACUAUCUCUAGUGGCUGAUUUUGGUCAAGCAUAAGAUGCUUAUAUAGUUUGGGUUACACCAUGUAAACCCUAAUUGANCCUAUGGGUUCUAGCCCAACUUGAUUAUCCAUGGAGCAUUAGCCCACUAUACAAGUAUGGAUGAUUUACACAAUCAACCCAUUUAUUUAAUUAGUCUUCUUUUGAUCACUUAAUUAAUCCUAGAUUAAUUCUUGAUCAAUACUAGUUAAAUAAUCUUAUUAUUCUUAUUAUUAAUAUACUAGAACUUAUAAUAUAUUAAUAACCAUAAGUGUCUUAUUUCUCUCAUUAUAGUCUAUCCAAGUGCAUGAUGGUAUGCAACCCAAAUGGACCAUGCCGGGUCGGGUCAAGUCUUACCAAUUAUAGUUAUGGACUUAGACAUUAAUCCAACAGUCUCCCACUUGGAUAAGUCUAAAACUAUUAUUGCGUAUGACUUCAGGAACCAACUGGCAAUCGUAGCUCUCAAAAGCUUCUGUCGAACUCUGACCUUGUAGAUGAACUCUGACCUUUGUCAAUGACUUGUCCAUUAGAUAAGGGAUCAUAUAUUCCUCCAUUCUAGAUAUCAUAUGGACUGAGACAUGGAUUAUAAUCAUUCUCUCUGUCCAUUUGUUGUUUCCCGAUUUCCGAUUUAUGACGACUGACUAAUUGAACAAAUCAAAUCAGUCCUGGCCCGGCCGAGCACUUCCAUUUGUCAUCAUCAAAUCAUCGAGGGGCCCACAGAUAUCGCUUUUAUCCCGAAGGUAAAAGGAACGGAUAAACUUCGACUCAUAUGGCUUGUUCUACUACUUGUUGAAUCAUACACAAAGGCACGUUUUAUAGCACCGAGUUACCAAAUGCGUUUUCGUGCAAUCAAUGUACUAUCAACUCAUAGUAACAACUCAUAUCUCUAGGUUUGAAGAAUAUAAGAUAUUAUNCAAUGACUAUAGCAAGAUAGAAUACAUACCUCUUUGGUGUAAAAAGUCUUCAUGAAGCUUGAGUGCCAAGUGCCCCAAGUGUGACACCUCAAAUGGUUCACACAACACCAAAUACACUUAGAAUGACUUGAGAGAAUUCUACACUUCAUGAAAAUCGGCUAGCCCUCUCUUACUAUCUCUAGUGGCUGAUUUUGGUCAAGCAUAAGAUGCUUAUAUAGUUUGGGUUACACCAUGUAAACCCUAAUUGACAUGGCCUUUCAUUUCCAUGAUCCAUGGGUACAAAUACACCAUGGAGCAUCCAUGGACCAUCCUAUGGGUUCUAGCCCAACUUGAUUAUCCAUGGAGCAUUAGCCCACUAUAGAAGUAUGGAUGAUUUACACAAUCAACCCAUAUAUUUAAUUAGUCUUCUUUUGAUCACUUAAUUAAUCCUAGAUU
rnacentral:lncRNA from 1 species